rnacentral:rRNA from 1 species
AUUGAACGCUGGCGGCAUGCCUUACACAUGCAAGUCGAACGGUAACAGGUCUUCGGAUGCUGACGAGUGGCGAACGGGUGAGUAAUGCAUCGGAACGUGCCCAGUAGUGGGGGAUAGCCCGGCGAAAGCCGGAUUAAUACCGCAUACGACCUGAGGGUGAAAGGGGGGGAUCGCAAGACCUCUCGCUAUUGGAGCGGCCGAUGUCAGAUUAGCUAGUUGGUGGGGUAAAGGCCUACGAAGGCAAAGAUGUGUAGUUGGUCUGAGAGGACGACCAGACACACUGGGACUGAGACAUGGCCCAGACUCCUACGGGAGGCAGCAGUGGGGAAUUUUGGACAAUGGGCGCAAGCCUGAUCCAGCAAUGCCGCGUGCACGAAGAAGGCCUUCGGGUUGUAAACUGCUUUUGUCAGGGAAGAAAUCUUCUGGGUUAAUACCUCGGGAGGAUGACGGUACCUGAAGAAUAAGCACCGGCUAACUACGUGCCAGCCGCCGCAGUAAUAC